rnacentral:rRNA from 1 species
UACGGAGGGUGCAAGCGUUAUCCGGAUUCACUGGGUUUAAAGGGUGUGUAGGCGGAUAUUUAAGUCAGUGGUGAAAUCUCCGGGCUCAACCCGGAAACUGCCAUUGAUACUAUUUAUCUUGAAUUUUGUUGAGGUGGGCGGAAUACAUCAUGUAGCGGUGAAAUGCUUAGAGAUGAUGUAGAACACCGAUUGCGAAGGCAGCUUACUAAACAGAUAUUGACGCUGAGGCACGAAAGCGUGGGGAUCAAACAGG